UUUCCAGGCCACAGUGCGGCAGGCGGACCGCAGGGAGAGGGAGAGAUUUUAGGAAAGACAGUAACAAAAGUUAAAGAAGAGGAGAAAUCAUGACACAAAACAGUGAUCUCAUCGAUGGCCUCUUUUCGCCACUGCACUUGACAUCCCUCAUCAUGGCGCUCGUGUCACCAACAAAUUAUUGAUUUAAGUCGUCUAUACCAACUUGAGGAUAUAAUGCCGGGAAAAGGAUGAGAACUACCGCAGUCGCCUGGAAUUUCUUGUUGGAUUUUAAGUCCGGCGCUCGGGGAUGCAGUUGGAAUUGUUUUUCGUGUGUAUAAUCAAUAUAUGAGAGGAGGAUUACUGGACUACACGAGAGCUUGGGCCGAUCCGUUAUAUUUCACAUCUCAUUAAAGCAUGGGAAUGUCGUCCACCGCUCUGAUCGCAUAGUCACUCCCGCGGGACGCGAUGCAGCCGCGCGCAGAUGUCAAGAUGGGUGAUGCCGCAGAGAUCAAGGAGAGCAAGAGGACGUUCAUCGUGCCGACGAUCAAAUCUGUUGAUCACUAUGAUUUCACCAGGGCCAAGAUAUCGUGCAGUUUGACGUGGCUCAUCGCCAAAGCCUUCGGGUCUGACUGUGUGCCUGUGGAGUUGGAGGAUCCAUUCUACCGAGACCAGUAUGAUCAGGAGCAUGUGAAGCCCCCUGUUGUGUCUCUGCUGCUUUCUGCUGAGUUGUAUUGCCGUGCUGGGAGUCUGAUCCUCAGGAGCGACGCGGCUAGACCUCUGCUGGGGCACAACGCCAUCAUCCAGGCCCUCGCUCAGAAGGGCCUCUACGUCACUGACCAGGAGAGACUUGUGACUGAGAGAGACCUCUGCAAGACCCCCAUACAGAUGACUUCUCACCUGGCACUGAUUGACACUCUGAUGAUGGCGUACACAGUUGAAAUGGUCAGUGUGGAGAGAGUGCUGACCUGCAUACAGAAGUUUACCCCUUUCCCUCCUGAGGAAGACUUCCCUUAUGAUGCUGAAGAGGCCGUGACAACAUGGAUCAACAAGGUAAAUGAACAUCUUAGAGACCUUUUGGCCCAAGAACAAAGAGUUCGAGAUAUAGGAGAACCCUGCCCUGUUCAAAAGGGACGGUACAGGAGAGAGGACUAUAAAGCACGGCAGGUUAUUUGUCUCCCCCUGGUGGACAAUCUCUUGAAGGACAACACAGACGGCUGCUCACUGGCUGCACUGCUGCACUUCUACUGUCCUGAUGCUGUGCCACUGGAAGACAUCUGUGUCAAAGAAACAAUGUCAUUGGCUGACAGUCUGUACAAUCUCCAGCUGAUCCAGGAGUUCUGCAGAGAAAACCUCAACAACUGCUGUCACUUCACCCUGGAGGAUAUGCUGUAUGCCUCCAGCACCAUCAAGAGUAACUACCUUGUGUUUAUGGCAGAGCUAUUCUGGUGGUGUGAAGUUGUGAAACCCUCUUUUGUUCAGCCCCGCACACUCAGUACCAAGGUAUCUGACCCAUCCCAGCCCAAUAAAAUGGCUCCCAUAACCAAACAAAACCUGAUCCACAGACCAGGCAGUCCAGACCAGUCUAGGUCACAACCUAAAAAUGACAACUCGGUUAUCAGGCGGUCGUCCUCCUUGUCGUAUGUUGAUGGAUGUGUGGGGACAUGGCCUAAAGAGAAACGGUCUUCAGCUCAUGGCAUAUCAUUUGAGAUUCCACUUGAUGACAGCAUGAGUUCAUCUUCAGGACGUGGACUGAGCCGAUCGGCAAGCACUGAAGGUUUGGGUUUUAAAGUUCACCACGCGGCCCGAGGCAUGCGGAGGAACCUCUCCUUCCAGCCUGUUAAUGGGAACGCCCACAGCAAAAUUCAUGAGGAGGAUGGUGAGGAAUCCAAGAGACACAUCAGCAGACACCGUCUGGGAAACUACACUGGGUAUUCAAAUGGUGAAUCAGCAGACAACCCAAGCCCUCCGUAUGACCCUCAGCCCAACACCCCUAGUAUAGAAGAAGCCCUGAAGAUCAUCCAUGACUCUGAGCGACCACACAGCAGCUUGCAGCCCCCUUCUGGAGACAGCACUUUUUUCCUGCACAGCCCAUCUUCCCACAACUCCGCAUCUGAUCCAAAUGAUCCAGAGGACUCGCUUUUCAAGGCCAGAGCAGAUGAAGCAGACCUAAAUUCCACUUCUACUGACAUGGACACUGGAAUCCAUGUCCGUACCGAAGACAUCCAAGACGGACAGGAUGAGGAUUCAUCCCUGAAGGACUAUUCGGACAUGGACCAGGACUUCGAAGCUCGUUCCUGUCCACUUCCGGAGAUUUCCGGCAUCCCAUGUCCAAACCUUUUGGAAACGCGCUCCCUGGCCACUAGCAUGGCCUCCUCGUUGGGUUCUGUUGUUCGCAUGACCAGCUUUGCCGAACAGAAGUUUCGUAAACUAAGCCAGGGCGAUGGCCGCAGCAGUGGGAGUGGCGGUAACACGCCGGAGAGCGGCGACCUGAACAUCACAACCCCAGGAGCGUCUGGGACAGUUCGUUCAAUUACUCCUGACGCACACAGCCCCUCUCACAUCACCUCUCCUCAUGAUACCUCACACCUGUUGGCGUCGGAGAUGGUGCAGUUGAAGAUGAAGCUGGAAGAGAAACGCAGAGCCAUUGAGGCACACAAGAAGAAAGUCGAAGCAGCUUUUACACGUCACAGGCAGCGCAUGGGCAGGACCGCCUUCCUCAAUGUGGUCAGGCGUAAAGGAGUUGUGUCCCCACUAGGGGGUGAAAGUGAAGGCCCAGAUGGUCGGGAAAAACAAACCAGUGACCUGCAACCUCUAAAGCCUUCGAAUGACUCCGAUCCCACACUUGAGAGAUGUCGACCUGACGGUGCACCGCCGAAAUCGCCCUUAGAGGAAGCAGCCGCGGAGGUGGACCUGGCAGAAUAUACGCGAUCCAUCGAGCGCCUGAACGUGUCUCUGAGCUUCCUACAGUCAGAGAUGCAGCGCUUGGCACAGCAGCAGGAACACAUCAUGCAAAUGCGUGAUCACCAAAGUUGGGUGAUUUCGCCACCAGAGCCAUCGCCACGUAAACAGAUGCGUGAGCUGCGCAGCAGCAGCUUAGUUGGCCGAGGUUCGGUGGGGUCACUCUCCCCCAUUUUGUCGUCCACCGGUUCGCCACGCACAACGCACCGUUCGCCCUCUAUGAUCAAAAGGAAGUCUGCGUCUUUCCACGCAAGGACGCCACGAACGCCAAGGCCCAACGACCUGAAGGUCACCUCUUUUAGCCGCAUGCUCAACACUCAGCAGUCAGUGGACAGCCUGCCUCGACUUAGACGUUUUUGGCAGAGUGAAGCGCAGUCCAGCCCAUUUGCCUAUAUGGGAGAUGAUGAGAAAGAGUCCAAAGAUGCAGCUGAUAAUUCGCCUGCUCAGGUGAAUGAAAAACAGAGAGAAGAAAAACAGGAUGUUGGAGAGAGUAACCGAUUCAUGAAUGCACCAACAUCUUCUGAAGUUCUGUCUCAGCCAACAAUGGACCAUUUGACACUAACAGCCAGUGGACACACAAAUGAAGAGGAGUUGCAUGAGAAGAAGAGUCUGAUCGAGGUUCCUCUUUCUGUUCUGAAGCCUCUGGAUGGACAUGAUCUGGAGAGCAGCAAAGAAACAGAGACAGGACUAGAAUCUAGACCAGACCAGAAGAUGUGCUGUGGCUUCUUCUAUAAGGAUGACCUGAACGCAGAGGAGGAUAUUGCACAGAAGAAGGCAGCUCUGAUGGAAAAAAGGCUACGGAGGGAAAAAGAGAUGCAGAUCAAGAAACAGCAACAGGAGGCUGAGAUGGAACUAAAGAAAGAAGCAGCACGAUUGAAAGCGGAAGAGGAACGUGAGAAGAACGAGGAUGAGAAGUCAAGACGGGAUUAUAUAAAAAAUGAAUGUUUGAGGAAGAAGCAGCUCAAACUGAUGGAUGACAUGGACAGUGUUAUUAAGCCACGCCCCCCUAGUGUCAAGCAGAAGAAGCCACGCCCCAAAUCUAUGCACAGAGACAUCAUGGAGUCUCCAAAACCUCCAGCACGGACAACCACAGGGUCAAGACCUCGUGGAUAUUCUGUGUCCAGCUUAUCACUCGCCUCCCUGAAUUUGGCAGACACUGAGAGUGUCCAAUCAGAUAAGAGGACAUCCAGAGGCAGCAGACUGUCUCCUGGCAGUCUGUGUUUCUUUCUGAGCUCCCCUAAAGGGAGAAAGGGAAGGUCAGUUUGCAGUCAGCAUCAUGCCCAUGUCAUUUCAGCUUGGACACUGGACAAACUCAUUCGCUUCGACAGAUCAGUUCACCGGAUCAUCAACAUAUUAAUGGAAAACUGUUAUAAUUAUCAUCUCUGAAUCAUUUGUUAUACAACAAUCAGUGGCGGUCCUUGUGUUCAUGUUUUGUUGUAUUACAGUAUUUUUGUUUUAUUCUUGUUGGCUACUUUAUCAUAAAAACAACAGAAAUUGGCUCAUCUUUUAUCAAAAAAAUUAUGAAACUCAAUUUACCUUUUUUUCUUAAAGGGGGGUGAAAUGCUAUUUCAUGCAUACUGAGUUUUUAACACUGUUAAAGAGUUGGAUUCCCAUGCUCAACAUGGACAAAGUUUCAAAAAUUAAGUUGUACGUUUGAAGGAGUAUUUCUGUUCCAAAAAUACUCCUUCCGGUUUGUCACAAGUUUCGGAAAGUUUUUUCAGAGUAUGGCUCUGUGUGACGUUAGAUGGAACAGAAUUUCCUUAUAUAGGUCCUAAGGGCACGUCUGCCGGAAGAGCGCGCGCUCCCGUAUAGCAGAGCAGAGAGAGCACAGACAUUCUUUCACUGAUCAGAGCGAGAGCGUCGCGAAAAGUCACAAAAGAAGUGUGUUUUUGGUUGUCAGGGCAAUACAACCCUGCACAGAUUACCAAAAAAAAAAAAACAGCAUUAAGGGACCAGUGGAUGGAGUUUAUUUUUACAGAGCAUCAACGGAGUUGUGCAAGUGUUUGUGUUUGUUCCCUGCAUUUCGAAGAUGCUUGCUUUACAAACAAGGCCAGUUUGACGCCGGAUUUGCACAUCGUUUAUUUCUUAAGGAUAAUGCAGUCCCAACGAAAAAGGGUCACGAUUGUGUGUUGGAACCGCAGGCGGUGAGUAAAACUGCUUCAAAUAUCUCUGUGUUGUUAACUUAGCUAUCGGCGCGUAAGCACAUCAAGUAAACAACAUGCGAUGUUGGCAUCAAACUGCACUUUCCACAUGUACAGCUUAAAAAAAAAAAAAAGACUACAUAAAGUGGAACUUAGUCAUUUUCCAAAACCGCUAAGCAAAUAUAUACAGUUUCAGUACAUACCACAUAGAGAUGUCCUGCUGUAGUCGUUGCUGAUGCUGCUCUGGUUAAAUUUCAGCCUCUGGAUCUGAUUCUGGAUCAUAAAUAUACGCUGAAUCUGACUGUUAGCCACUGUUUGUUUGGGAUGAUGGUUUUUUCCUCAAGGUACUGUCACAGCUUCCAAACGCUCUCAACGCAAAAGCCUACUCGCGCUCGUGAUUCGUUAGCUCCGCCCACACGUCACACCUCCAGCCGGUUGUGUUUUUCCGGGAAAAAUCAGUACAGACUAUCUUUCUCUUAUAAAUAUAAUAAAACUAAAGACUUUUUGGAGUUAUGAAGGAUGCAGUACUACUCUAUAGGUACUCAAGAUUAACAGAAUAUUGAGUGAAAACGAGCAUUUCACCCCCCCUUUAAAGGGAUAGUCCACCCGAAAAUGAAACAUUUUCAUUCCAAACCUGUAUGACUUACUUUCUUCUGUAGAGCAUGAUGAUGUAUUUUGUAGAUUGUUGGUUACCAAAUGGUUUUAGGUCCCUUUGGCUUUCAUAGUAUGUACAAAAAAAUCCUAUGAAAGUCAGUAAGACCAGAACAUAUCUUCUAUUGUGUUACACAGAAGAAAGAAAGUCAUACAGGUUUGGAAUGAAAUGAGGGUGAGUAAAUAACCAAAUUUUCAUUUUUGGUUGGACUAUCCCUCUAACCAGGUGCAAUUAAUAAAUUAUACUACUUCCAUGUUAGUUUUUGUCCAGCGACAAAUGACAAGUUACAAGACAUUUUUGUCAGUCCAUCUGGUUGCAACAAAAUCAUUAUCUGCAUCACUGUAUAAAAACAUCACAUACUUUCUGAUUGGCCAUUACUUCUAAGUCAUGCAAACAUUUUUGCAUUUACUGUGGGCUUUUUAAAUUACUUGAAUUAGUUGGUGGAAACUUGCACCUGGUUAGAACAUAAUGCAGUGAGUUACAAUUUCUCCUUCAUCCACGCUCUGCUUCCUUUUUUACUGCCUUCAGCUUCUCAACAUCAGUGUGUGGAAUUAUGCUUACUACUAGUUUUUGGGCUCUUCAUUUUAUAUGAAACAUUGCUUUUUCCAGCAGCAAUACAGGCCACCUGUAAAAUGGGUACUUCAGAGCUAUUCUAAGUGUGUCUGAUUGUGUAUUUUCAGGCCAGAGUCCUCAGAGGGCUUUCUGUCACCGUGUCCAUCUGUAAGUGGAAACGGGGAGAACUGGGAGCUUGAAUCAACAACAUCGUCUGCAGCAUCUAACGCAGAAUACACAGGGCCAAAGUUGUACAAGGAGCCCAGUGCUAAAUCAAA